UCAGAGGCGCUCUGGGGGAGGGCUUCGUCGCGCUCUAUCCGGGGGAGGCGGGACUUCGGUGGAGCGACAGCGCCGCAAGCCAACGGGAGCAAUUGUAAAGGGAAAUGAAGCUCCCCUCUUCGUGUCUCUUGAUCUUCACUGGACUAGAAGAACCUGUCAUUCUGAAAUCUGGAGG